rnacentral:rRNA from 1 species
AGUGAACGCUGGCGGUAGGCCUAACACAUGCAAGUCGAACGGCAGCACAGUAAGAGCUUGCUCUUACGGGUGGCGAGUGGCGGACGGGUGAGGAAUACAUCUGAAUCUACUUUUUCGUGGGGGAUAACGUAGGGAAACUUACGCUAAUACCGCAUACGACCUACGGGUGAAAGCAGGGGAUCUUCGGACCUUGCGCGAUUGAAUGAGCCGAUGUCGGAUUAGCUAGUUGGCGGGGUAAAGGCCCACCAAGGCGGCGAUCCGUAGCUGGUCUGAGAGGAUGAUCAGCCACACUGGAACUGAGACACGGUCCAGACUCCUACGGGAGGCAGCAGUGGGGAAUAUUGGACAAUGGGCGCAAGCCUGAUCCAGCCAUACCGCGUGGGUGAAGAAGGCCUUCGGGUUGUAAAGCCCUUUUGUUGGGAAAGAAAAGCAGCAGGUUAAUACCCCGCUGUUCUGACGGUACCCAAAGAAUAAGCACCGGCUAACUUCGUG